rnacentral:rRNA from 1 species
UACGAAGGGGGCUAGCGUUGUUCGGAUUUACUGGGCGUAAAGCGCACGUAGGCGGCUUGUUAAGUCAGGGGUGAAAUCCUGGAGCUCAACUCCAGAACUGCCUUUGAUACUGGCAACCUAGAGGCUGGAAGAGGGUAGUGGAAUUCCCAGUGUAGAGGUGAAAUUCGUAGAUAUUGGGAAGAACACCAGUGGCGAAGGCGGCUAACUGGUCCAGAACUGACGCUGAGGUGCGAAAGCGUGGGGAGCAAACAGG